AUUGAACGCUGGCGGCAGGCCUAACACAUGCAAGUCGAGCGGAUGAGAGGAGCUUGCUUCUCGAUUCAGCGGCGGACGGGUGAGUAAUGCCUAGGAAUCUGCCUGGUAGUGGGGGACAACGUUUCGAAAGGAACGCUAAUACCGCAUACGUCCUACGGGAGAAAGCAGGGGACCUUCGGGCCUUGCGCUAUCAGAUGAGCCUAGGUCGGAUUAGCUAGUUGGUGAGGUAAUGGCUCACCAAGGCGACGAUCCGUAACUGGUCUGAGAGGAUGAUCAGUAACACUGGAACUGAGACACGGUCCAGACUCCUACGGGAGGCAGCAGUGGGGAAUAUUGGACAAUGGGCGAAAGCCUGAUCCAGCCAGGCCGCGUGUGUGAAGAAGGUCUUCGGAUUGUAAAGCACUUUAAGUUGGGAGGAAGGGUUGUAGAUUAAUACUCUGCAAUUUUGACGUUACCGACAGAAUAAGCACCGGCUAACUCUGUGCCAGCCGCCGCGGUAAGAC
rnacentral:rRNA from 1 species